rnacentral:rRNA from 1 species
UACGUAGGUGGCAAGCGUUGUCCGGAUUUAUUGGGUGUAAAGGGCGUGUAGCCGGGUUGACAAGUCAGAUGUGAAAUCCUGCGGCUUAACCGCAGAACUGCAUUUGAAACUGUUGAUCUUGAGUACUGGAGAGGCAGACGGAAUUCCUAGUGUAGCGGUGAAAUGCGUAGAUAUUAGGAGGAACACCAGUGGCGAAGGCGGUCUGCUGGACAGCAACUGACGGUGAGGCGCGAAAGCGUGGGGAGCAAACAGG